rnacentral:rRNA from 1 species
CACGUAGGCGGAUUCUUAAGUCAGGGGUGAAAUCCCGAGGCUCAACCUCGGAACUGCCUUUGAUACUGGGGAUCUUGAGUCCGGGAGAGGUGAGUGGAACUGCGAGUGUAGAGGUGAAAUUCGUAGAUAUUCGCAAGAACACCGGUGGCGAAGGCGGCUCACUGGCCCGGUACUGACGCUGAGGUGCGAAAGCGUGGGGAGCAAACA